rnacentral:rRNA from 1 species
AAAAAGCUCGUAGUUGGAUAUUAGAAUUAAUUUGUAUGGUCGGUUGUGAUAAACAAUCUUGUACUGUAUAAGUGAUUCUUUCCUACUGGUUACUCGACUCUGUCCUUUUACUGGAUGGAGUAGUGUCGCAAGGCAUCGCUUAGUGUUAUAUUGCCUAUGAAUGUAGUUAUUGGGUAAAACUGGUAGUGAAAUUCAUGGGAUCACAGUAUGAUAUUAAGUGGGGUUCCAGUUCAUUUACUUUGAGUAAAUUAGAGUGUUCAAAGCAGCCUCUUGGGGCAUUGAAUAGAUUAGCAUGGGAUAAUAGAAUAGGACUCUUGUCUUUUUAUUGGUUUAAAGAUUUAGAGUAAUGAUUAAUAGGGAUAGUUGGGGGCACUUGUAUUCAAUAGUCAGAGGUGAAAUUCUAGGAUUUAUUGAAGACAAACUUCAGCGAAAAGCAUUUGCCAAGGAUGUUUUCAUUAAUCAAGAACGAAAGUUAGG